rnacentral:rRNA from 1 species
UACGGAGGAUCCGAGCGUUAUCCGGAUUUAUUGGGUUUAAAGGGUGCGCAGGCGGGAGAUUAAGUCGGCGGUGAAAUUUUGCAGCUCAACUGUAAAAGUGCCUUCGAAACUGGUUUCCUUGAGUGUAGAUGAAGUAGGCGGAAUUUGUGGUGUAGCGGUGAAAUGCAUAGAUAUCACGAGGAACUCCGAUUGCGCAGGCAGCUUACUAAGCCAUAACUGACGCUCAGGCACGAAGGCGUGGGGAUCAAACAGGAUUAGAUACCGUGUA